GGUAGGGGCAUAGUGGUUUGAAUAUUAGACUACAGCUCUGGAGACCAGGGUUGGAUUCCCAGCUCAGCCA